GACGAACCGAGCGAACGUUGUUCGGAAUCACUGGGCUUAAAGGGCGCGUAGGCGGGUGCUCAAGUCCGGGGUGAAAUCCUCCAGCUCAACGUGGAGAACUGCCUCGGAUACUGGGCGUCUCGAGUGUGGUAGGGGUAUGCGGAACUAUCGGUGGAGCGGUGAAAUGCGUUGAUAUCGAUAGGAACUCCGGUGGCGAAGGCGGCAUACUGGACCACCACUGACGCUGAUGCGCGAAAGCCAGGGAGGCAAACGGG
rnacentral:rRNA from 1 species